rnacentral:lncRNA from 1 species
GUUUUUCUUUCUAACACAUUCCAGCUUCCUACGUGGGACAGGAAGGCCGCUGAGCUUUUCCAUUAAGUGUUGUUUGGAGGAAACUUGGAGCACAUGCUGCCUUUGGAACUGCUUAGCGUCAUUGCCAUUCUUCCACCCACCAGGUAGGUGCUGUCACAGUGUCAUGGAGUCCCACUAUGUGGGAGAGCCAUGGUUGAAACGUAACUAGAACUAAAGGGGUUCUGGGUUUUCCUCUUAACGAGUUAGUUUCUUUAAGAGCAUAACCAAACUAAUUUCUGUGUAUCUCAAGGGUAGCAUUUGCAACUUACAUGUCAGGAAAGACAACACCAGUGGCUUACAACUUUUAGACUUCAACUCCAGUCCUGGGAUUACUUGCAUUACUCUGAGCAAAAACAGACCAAAAAAAAAAAAAAAAAAAAAAUCGCAGGUCCCCAUAUAUGCCCUUCGACCUGCCUUUAUGUUUGCUGAUAUUGGAUAUCUUUAAAACCAAGCCAUUGUUCUUGAAACUUGAAGCUAUACCAAAAAAGAGAGGGAGAAACAGGUAAAGAUAUCAUUCUUUUGGUCUAGAAUUUUUUUUUUUUUUGAGACAAAAUAUUUUGGUCAGAUUUUUCUUGGCUACUCUUCGAUCCAUGUUUGGUAGUGACUCAGAAUUGAGAAGCAUGGGGAAAAUUCUAUCAAUACUUUCCACAUCUUGGAAAAUUAAUUGCCUCCAAAU